rnacentral:tRNA from 1 species
CGCUUGGCUCAGAUGGUAGAGCGCAUGACUCUUAAUCAUGGGGUCGCGGGUUCGAUCCCCGCAGUGGUUG